rnacentral:lncRNA from 1 species
UGUAGCCGAAAAGUUGCUCCUAGCUCUAAAUCAGGCGAGUGGCUGUGUUCACUCUCAGCUGAUUCGGCUGCGUCCACUUGCUCCAAAUCACCACUGCUGCCUGCGUGCUCGACGCGUGCUUCUGACGCGAGGCUGUUGCCUAACCCUGAUGCAGUACCGGAGUACUCAGGGUUAUCAAGCCACAGAACCUCCUGCUCCUGCUCGUGCUGCUCACUGACGGGUUCCAGUCCUGGGUGAGGCUGCUGCUGCUGAGCAGGGAGGGGCGGACCCUUCUUCACUCCCUUUUGUUGCUUUGCGUGACCUUUGCUAGGGCGCGCUGGCGCACUUGAAUGCUCGAUGGACCCUGGGGGCCGAGCUGAGCGGUGGGGAUUGACACGACGUAGAGAGUCCGCCAGCGCUCAAAAGAUGAUGAGACUCUUACAAGGCUCUAGUGAGAGCGCAGUGUUCAGUGAUGUCCGGGGACACUAUCUCACUGAUGAGUCUGUAUGGCCGGAGCCUGUGUGCACGUACGAUAGUCCUGGGACACACACCAACGCCGGAGCGCUUGGUGGCUGAGUACGGCAAAGAUCGAUAGUUCUCCAACAGCUAGGGCUCGGCACACGGAUGCACCACUAGAGCCACCACUAGCUGGUUCCACACUUAAUAUAAUCACACAAAUGUGCCCGAUGGGCGCGUGGAGUGCCAGACAACACCCAGGAGCUCGGAAGCUCGACACUGAAAGGGGUGUUUCGGCUAUAGAUCCUGAC